GACGAACGCUGGCGGCGUGCUUAACACAUGCAAGUCGAACGCUGAAGCUCAGCUUUUGUUGGGUGGAUGAGUGGCGAACGGGUGAGUAACACGUGAGUAACCUGCCCCCUUCUUUGGGAUAACGCCCGGAAACGGGUGCUAAUACUGGAUAUUCACUGGUCUUCGCAUGGGGGGUGGUGGAAAGGGUUUUUCUGGUGGGGGAUGGGCUCGCGGCCUAUCAGCUUGUUGGUGGGGUGAUGGCCUACCAAGGCUUUGACGGGUAGCCGGCCUGAGAGGGUGACCGGUCACAUUGGGACUGAGAUACGGCCCAGACUCCGCCGGGAGGCAGCAGUGGGGAAUAUUGCACAAUGGGCGCAAGCCUGAUGCAGCGACGCCGCGUGAGGGAUGGAGGCCUUCGGGUUGUGAACCUCUUUCGCUCAUGGUCAAGCCGCAACAAUGGUUGUGGUGAGGGUAGUGGGUAAAGAAGCGCCGGCUAACUACGUG
rnacentral:rRNA from 1 species